CCCUUAGAUGUUCUGGGCUGCACGCGCGCUACACUGAAGCGUUCAACGAGUAUUCACCUUGCCCGGGAGGGUUGGGUAAUCUUUUGAAAACGCUUCGUGAUGGGGAUAGAUUAUUGCAAUUAUUAAUCUUCAACGAGGAAUUCCUAGUAAGCGCGAGUCAUCAGCUCGUGCUGAUUACGUCCCUGCCCUUUGUACACACCGCCCGUCGCUCCUACCGAUUGAAUGAUCCGGUGAGGCCCCCGGAUUGUGGCAAUGGCUCUGGUUCGCCAGACCAAUGCUGCGAGAAGCUGUCCAAACCUUAUCAUUUAGAGGAAGGAGAAGUCGUAACA
rnacentral:rRNA from 1 species